rnacentral:rRNA from 1 species
GACGAACGCUGGCGGCGUGCUUAACACAUGCAAGUCGAACGCUGAAGCUCAGCUUUUGUUGGGUGGAUGAGUGGCGAACGGGUGAGUAACACGUGAGUAACCUGCCCCCUUCUUUGGGAUAACGCCCGGAAACGGGUGCUAAUACUGGAUAUUCACUGGUCUUCGCAUGGGGGUUGGUGGAAAGGGUUUUUCUGGUGGGGGAUGGGCUCGCGGCCUAUCAGCUUGUUGGUGGGGUGAUGGCCUACCAAGGCUUUGACGGGUAGCCGGCCUGAGAGGGUGACCGGUCACAUUGGGACUGAGAUACGGCCCAGACUCCUACGGGAGGCAGCAGUGGGGAAUAUUGCACAAUCGGCGCAAGCCUGAUGCAGCGAUGCCGCGUGAGGGAUGGAGGCCUUCGGGUUGUGAACCUCUUUCGCUCAUGGUCAAGCCGCAACAAUGGUUGUGGUGAGGGUAGUGGGUAAAGAAGCGCCGGCUAACUACGUG